UACGAAGGGGGCUAGCGUUGCUCGGAAUUACUGGGCGUAAAGCGUGCGCAGGCGGUCUGUUAAGAGAGAUGUGAAAUCCCCGGGCUUAACCUGGGAACUGCGUUUCUAACUGGCAGGCUAGAGUGUGGCAGAGGGGGGUGGAAUUCCACGUGUAGCAGUGAAAUGCGUAGAGAUGUGGAGGAACACCGAUGGCGAAGGCAGCCCCCUGGGCUAACACUGACGCUCAUGCACGAAAGCGUGGGGAGCAAACAGG
rnacentral:rRNA from 1 species